CAGAUUGAACGCUGGCGGCGUGCCUAACACAUGCAAGUCGAGCGGUAACAGGUGUAGCAAUACAUGCUGACGAGCGGCGGACGGGUGAGUAACGCUUGGGAAUCUGCCUGAUAGUGGGGGACAACCCGGGGAAACUCGGGCUAAUACCGCAUACGCACUAAGGUGGAAAGCCGGGGACCGCAAGGCCUGGCGCUAUCAGAUGAGCCCAAGUCGGAUUAGCUAGUUGGUAGGUAACGGCCUACCAAGGCGACGAUCCGUAACUGGUCUGAG
rnacentral:rRNA from 1 species